GGCAUGGUGGCUUAGUGGUUAGCACGUUUGAUUAGUACCUCUGGGGUUGUGGGUUCAAAUCCCACCUCCACCU